rnacentral:sRNA from 1 species
GCCAGGUGCAGUGGUGCAUGCCUGUGAUCCCAGCACCUUGGGAGGCUGAGACAGGAGGAUCAUGGGUUCAAAGCCAGCCUCAGCAAAAGUGAGGUGCUAAGCAACUCAGUGAGACCCUGUCUCUA